rnacentral:lncRNA from 10 species
CUUUAGCCACAGCAGGCUUAAGACAGGUGCAGGGGUUGAGUUUGGGAAGCAAGAAGACCUGGCUCAUAGUAGCCUUGGGAAGUGCAGCUUGACCUCUGGUCAUCCUGGAGAGGAUGAAAUUAUGUCUGCAUUUCAAGGCUUCAAAUCCUAACAAUGCUGGGAAACUGGGAAGUUUCCAGGAGAAACAGCCUGCCUCUUUCUUCCUUUCCUAGUUGUUAAAAGAAAAACUUCGGCGGAAUUAAACUCAGAGUUCAGCUGAGCAGCGAACUAUUCGGGAAACGGGCCGCCCCCAGAAUCACAGCAGAUUCAGAGAGACUCCAGCGCAGCCACGUGGUGGAAGAUUUACAGACAAACAAAAGAAGAAGAAAAAAAAAAAGGAACUGAGGUACAGAAAUCGGAAGUGAGGUACAGAAAUAGCUUUAUUGGUUACAGGUUGGCGUUUGCCCCAUUCAAACACUCCGCGGUGUAUGAGUGGUUGAUGGAUGGCUGCUGGGAUUGGCCAAGACUCAGCUAUUGUUACACACUCCUAAAUUAGGUUUACAAGUUUGUCUGCCUAUUAAGUUAGGUUGCAGUUUCUCUACAAGGACUCAAAUACAGAAAUA